GACAGAGGAGCCAAGCGUUGUCCGGAUUGACUGGGCGUAAAGCGCACGCAGGCGGAUGCGCGCGUGGGGUGUGAAAUCUGGCCGCUUAACGGCCAGGCGCCAUCCCAUACGGCGCGUCUGGAGUGAUGCAGAGGUCGAUGGAAUUGCCGGUGUAGUGGUGAAAUGCGUAGAGAUCGGCAGGAACACCCAGGGGGAAACCAGUCGACUGGGCAUCUACUGACGCUGAGGAGCGAAAGCGUGGGGAGCGAACAGG
rnacentral:rRNA from 1 species